AUGGCCAAGACCGUGGCGUAUUUCUCCGACCCCAAUGUGGGCAACUUCCACUACGGAGCUGGACACCCGAUGAAACCCCAUCGCCUGGCAUUGACUCAUAGCCUAGUCUUGCAUUAUGGUCUCUAUAAGAAGAUGAUCGUCUUCAAGCCUUACCAGGCCUCACAGCACGACAUGUGCCGCUUCCAUUCUAAGGACUACAUCAACUUCCUGCAGAGAGUCAGCCCCACCAAUAUGCAGGGUUUCACCAAGAGCCUUAAUGCCUUCAACGUGGGUGAUGACUGCCCAGUGUUUCCCGGGCUCUUCGAGUUCUGCUCCCGUUACACAGGCGCAUCUCUGCAAGGAGCAACACAGCUAAACAACAAGAUCUGUGAUAUUGCCAUCAACUGGGCUGGUGUUCUACAUCAUGCCAAGAAAUUUGAGGCCUCUGGCUUCUGCUAUGUCAAUGACAUAGUGAUUGGUACCCUGGAGCUGCUUAAGUACCACCCUCGGGUGCUCUACAUUGAUACUGACAUCCAUCAUGGUGACGGGGUUCAGGAAGCCUUCUACCUUACUGACUGGGUCAUGACUGUGUCCUUCCACAAAUAUGGAAAUUACUUCUUUCCUGGAACAGGUGACAUGUAUGAAGUUGGAGUGGAGAGUGGCCGCUACUAUUGUCUCAAUGUGCCCUUAAGGGAUGGCAUUGAUGACCAGAGUUACAAGCACCUUUUCCAGCCAGUCAUCAGCCAGGUGGUGGACUUCUACCAGCCAACGUGCAUCGUGCUCCAGUGUGGAGCUGACUCCCUGGGCUGGGAUCUAUUAGGGCUGCUUCAAUCUCAGCAUUCGAGGACACGGGGAAUAUGUUGAAUAUGUCAAGAGUUUCAAUAUCCCUGUCCUAGUGCUGGGAGGUGGUGGCUACACUGUCCGAAACGUUGCCCGGUGCUGGACAUAUGAAACAUCUCUGCUGGUAGAAGAGGCCAUUAGUGAGGAACUUCCCUACAGUGAAUACUUUGAGUACUUUGCCCCAGAUUUCACACUCCACCCAGAUGUCAGCACCUGCAUCGAGAAUCAGAACUCACACCAGUAUCUGGACCAGAUCCGCCAGACAAUCUUUGAAAACCUGAAGAUGCUGAACCAUGCACCGAGUGUCCAGAUUCACGACGUCCCGGCAGACCUCCUGACAUACAACAGGACUGAUGAGCCCGAUACUGAAGAGAGAGGCCCUGAGGAGAACUACAGCAGGCUGGAAGCACCCAAUGAAUUCUAUGACAGAGACCAUGACAAUGACAAGGAAAGUGAUGUGGAGAUUUAGAGUCGCAGGGAUGCUGCGUCCCCAAGAGGUCCUUGUCACCUC